ACGGAAGGCAGCAGUGGGGAAUAUUGCACAAUGGGGGAAACCCUGAUGCAGCAACGCCGCGUGAGUGAUGAAGUAUUUCGGUAUGUAAAGCUCUAUCAGCAGGGAAGAAAAUGACGGUACCUGACUAAGAAGCCCCGGCUAACUACGUGCCAGCAGCCGCGGUAAUACGUAGGGGGCAAGCGUUAUCCGGAUUUACUGGGUGUAAAGGGUGCGUAGACGGCUGUGUAAGUCAGAAGUGAAAUCCCAGGGCUUAACCCUGGUGCUGCUUUUGAAACUAUACGGCUAGAGUGCUGGAGGGGCAAGCGGAAUUCCUGGUGUAGCGGUGAAAUGCGUAGAUAUCAGGAGGAACACCGGUGGCGAAGGCGGCUUGCUGGACGGUAACUGACGUUGAGGCUCGAAAGCGUGGGGAGCAAACAGGAUUAGAUACCCUGGUA
rnacentral:rRNA from 1 species